rnacentral:rRNA from 1 species
CCUACGGGUGGCUGCAGUCGAGAAUCUUCCGCAAUGGACGAAAGUCUGACGGAGCGACGCCGCGUGCGGGAUGAAGGCCCUUGGGUUGUAAACCGCUGUCAGAGGGGAUGAAAUCUUCACAGGUUCUCCUGUGAAGUUGACAGAGCCUCAAAGGAAGCACGGGCUAAGUACGUGCCAGCAGCCGCGGUAACACGUACUGUGCGAACGUUAUUCGGAAUCACUGGGCUUAAAGGGUGCGUAGGCUGCGAUGCAAGUCAGGUGUGAAAUGCCGGAGCUCAACUGCGGCAUUGCGCUUGAAACUGUGUUGCUUGAGUAUUUCAGGGGUGUGGGGAACUGCCAGUGGAGCGGUGAAAUGUGUUGAUAUUGGCAGGAACACCGGAGGCGAAAGCGCCACACUGGGGAAUAACUGACGCUGAGGCACGAAAGCCAGGGGAGCGAACGGGAUUAGAUACCCCAGUAGUC